GGUUCUUCGGCUGUUUAUGGAGACUAAAGAAUGUGUAUCAAUUCCUAAUUUCAGGUCGGACUCAUCCAACUUCAUUUUCAGCAAAGAUAAAACGUGAUGCUGUUUUAGACAUUUUGACGUUAUAAUCCAUGUGCGGGUGCACGUUCUUGAUUGUUCAUCCUACGAAUAUGUACCUGCUACAAGGCACCCAUUUACUAUCACAGGAUACAUAGAAAUAUAUAUGGUCAUCAAUUGUUUAUCAAUUUACUAAUAAACAACCAAUAUGUCCAUAA